rnacentral:rRNA from 1 species
UACGUAGGGGGCUAGCGUUGUCCGGAAUCAUUGGGCGUAAAGCGCGCGUAGGCGGCCCGAUAAGUCCGGUGUGAAAGUCACAGGCUCAACCUGUGAAUGCCGCUGGAAACUGUCUGGCUUGAGUCCGGAAGGGGCGAGUGGAAUUCCUGGUGUAGCGGUGAAAUGCGCAGAUAUCAGGAAGAACACCAACGGCGAAGGCAGCUCGCUGGGACGGUACUGACGCUGAGACGCGAAAGCGUGGGGAGCGAACAGG